rnacentral:lncRNA from 1 species
CGCUCGGUAAGCUUCCAGUAAAGUGUUCUAACUGGCCGUUGGUGGGGCAGGAGCUGGAGAAGCUCGACAUCCUGCAGUGGGUGAGACAGUUGUGCACAGUGAAGAAUUGUCUCACCUCCUGCAUGGCUUUCCAAUAAACAGAUGAUCUGAGCUUGGAACGAACUCCCCUUUACAAACAUCAACAAAGUGGUUUGGUAUGAAAUAUUUGUAUUCACUUAAAGUGGAAAGACAAUCUGCACACCUGGAGGAGAUAUUUGCAACAUUUACAACUGGCAAAGGUUUAUUACCAAGAAUAUAUAAAGAAGUCUUAUAAAUCAACAAGAAAGAAGAAAAACAACAGAAAGAAAUGGACAAAAGAAAAAGCAUUUUAUAAAAGAAGAAAUGCUCAUGGCCAGCAAACAUAUGGAGAUGUUCAAACUCAUGUGAAAUGUAAAUCAAGACCCAAUAAGAUAAGCUUUUAUGUCCACUAAAAUGGCAAAAUGUUAAUAGCUAGACAAUCCAAGUAUUGGAGAACAUACAGAUCCAUGGGAUCUCUUACAUAUCGCUUAUAAGGGUACGCAUUAGGACAUAGGACACUCACUUAGAAAAAGUGUGGCAUUAUCUUGCAAAAUCAAACACUCACAUAGGCUGCUGUGCAGGUCCUGAGUCUGUUUGCCCUCAGAUCCACUCUUUGCUAUGCCCUUAUGUCCUCAGUUUUCCAGCAGGAUCUCGGCAGCCAUGUCAUCUUGCUUCCAGUUGGGCUCAGUUAAUAAAAGAGAGAGAAUGGAAGGUGGAAAGAAGGGAGAAGCCAAGGUGUUUCUCACCAGCACCCUCCCCUUCUCCUCUCAGGUAACAUCCCCUGUGGUGGCCACAGCUCUCCGAUGGGUCCAGUUCCCACAGGAAAGCCAGCCAUGAUUCUAACUUCUACCAGGUGACCCUGGCCCUGGGCUCUGGUGACACUAACCUUUUGUUUCUCUAGUCCUGGGGAGGGGUAGUAACAGCUUCCUGCUAUUAUUAAUUUAUGGAUUGCCUCAUUGCCUCCUGUGAGGCUUCUCAGCUAUUGAUUACCAUACUACUCAGCAAUAAAAAGGAAAAAACUAUUGAUACAUGCAACAACUUUGUCGGACCACAAGAGAAUUUUACCAACUAAAAAAGCCAGUCUCACAUUGUUACAUACUAUAUGAUUCCACUUACAUAACCUUCUAGAAAUGACAAAAUUAUUGAGGUGAAGAACAGAUUAGUGGUUGCCAAGGGUUAAAGACAGGGUUGGGGUUGGAGAAAGAAAUCAGUGUACCUAAAAAGAAGCAGCCAGAGGGAUCUUUGUGGUGACGGGACAGUUCUGUAUCUUGAUUGUGGUGGUGGUUAUACAAAUCUACGUGUAAUAAAGUUUUAUGUGUGCAUAGAACUAUGUACAUACUCAAACAAAUGCAUGUAACCCUGGUGAAAUCUGAAUAAGGUCUGUGGAUUGUGCCAAUACCAGUGACCUGGUUUUGAUACUGUAUUAUAGCUAUCUAAGACAUUAUUAUCAGGAGAAAAUGGGGGAAAGGUACAUGUACUUUUCUGUACUAUUUUUGCAACUUCUCGUGAAUCUGUUACUAUUUCAAAAUUAAAAGUAUCUGAAAAUCCAUAGAGUGGUUUCUGUUUUUUCUGAUUAGACCCUGACUGAUACUCCUACAACCCCACAAUUCCUUCCGCUCCUAGAUGUAUA